rnacentral:lncRNA from 10 species
GUAAAAUCCAAGGAAACCUGAAUCAAGGAGCCUGCAUUCCCUGCCUCCUAGUGGCUUCCUCCCAUCACUCGAACCUCUGUUUCCAGCCUCAGGAUUCCUAAUGUGACUCUGACGUUUCAUCUCCUGUUUAUGAGGACGCUUCUGAUUGCUAAGAUACAUACGGUGACACUAUGGAAGUUAACUUGAAGAUUAAAACCCUGAAAAAUAGAAAGAAUCUUCUAUGGUAUAUCACAGAGAUUACAAGGGCCUGAAUUAGAGUGGUGACAUUUUCAUCCCUUGAUAAUGGAUUAAAAACAAUUGAAUGAAGCUUUGGGGUGAACUUACAGGACUUUAUGGCAAACUUCAUAUGGGAGACUUACAUGAAGGGAGGAAGAAAUGCGUAUGUGUACAAAAUCAUGUGGAUAGAUGUGCAUUUGUGGGUAUCUGUGAAUACAAAUACACAAUUUUCAGACAGAAGUAGUAUAAGAAAAGGAAAUCAAACAAAGUCAAACAUUUUAAGUGUAGCUCUUGGUGCACUUUAAAAAAUUAUUAAAUUGAAGCUGUAGUUUAUUCUCAUCAUUGUCAUCCUAUAUUAGUGAUUUUCUUUAGCUUUUGAAAUUAAAUUCAUAAUAUUACAAUUCUGAAUUCCUAUGUAUGUAUAUGUUAAGAAUCCUUUAAUGGGACUGACUUUCAUAUGUGUGUGGCUGCAUUCUGAAAUAGUUGUCUAGUUGAUACAUAAAGCAGUGAGUGCUAUUUGUAAGAUAUAUUUAUAUUUAAAGUCUUCAUACAGUUAUUAACUAGCUCCAAUAUUACUGAAAUGAUUUCUCCAAAUAUCCUAUAUUUAAUUAUCAUGCUGGCAAAUUUAUUAUAACUUUGGUUUGAAAAAAUAUAUUAUGAUACAUAUCCACUGACUAAUGCCACCUAUCUGCUUUCCUGAAUUCAAAGUUUAUGAUUAUUUCCAUAAAUGUAUUUAUCAGUAUAAUCAAAAAUAAAAAUAACAUAAAUAAAAUUUCUGUGAGCUUUACACAUCUAAUGUGCAAUGAUUAUAAAUCUGGUCUUAUACACAUGGUAAAAAACAUUUAAGUCACAAAAGUAUACUUCAGGUUUAAGUAUAAAUCUGAAAUUAAAUUCUCAGAUUUAAGUAUAAUUUUUAAAAGCUUUGGUAAUUGUGUCCCUACUGUUAAAUUUAUUGUAUAGUUUUCACUAUAUCAUCUGACCUUUUAAUGUUUCUAGAAACUUGUGUGAGGUCUCAUACUUCAUGGCUAAUAAAGUAUUUAUUUUUCUAUUCUUGAUCAGUUUUGUUGGAUUUUAUCAAUUUUGUGAAAUCUAACACAUGACUUUCCUAAUUUUUUGUAUUGUUUUUGUGUUUUCUAUUUAAUUUCUUUUUCUCUUAUCCUUACGAUUCUCUUCCUGCUAUGUUUUCCUAGUUUAAUUUGGUGGGUUUUCUUGUUGUUGUUGUUGCUUCUUGGAAUACAAAUAAUAACAGUGCUGUAUGCCUGUAAUCCCAGACAGGAGAGGAUGAAGUGGGAAAAUUGCUUCAGCCUAGGAGUUUGAGAACCACCUAGGUGGCAGAGACAGACCCUGUCCUGAAAAAAAAAAAAAAAAAGGAAAUAGAUAAAAAUAAUAAAAUAAUAAAAAGGACAUUAUUCUUGAGCUUUUUCUCUAAUUAUUUUCCCUGAGAUAACUUGAAAGCUUUAAAAAUACAUCUGAGCAAUGCUUAGUCAAGUUUUACAAGUUUUUAUAUGCUAGACCAUCAUUUUCAUUUAGUUGAAAAUACGUGCUGUAUUUUAAAAUAUUUUGUUUGGAUCCAUUGCUUAUUUAAAAGUCUAGUGCUUAAUUUUUACACAAGUUUGCCUCUUCUAGUUAUUUUUAUUUUUUGUGUGUUCUACUCACUGGUAUUUACAUUAAAUAUUUAAGUUUAGAAUAUGUGUAUGUGUUCUGGAAAAGGUGGUACAUAGUUCCUGUUUUUCCUGUUAUUAAUAUCUUACAUUAGUAUGAUACAUUUGUCAUAAUAUUGAACUAAUGUUGAUGCAUUAUUAAUUUUAUCAUUGAUGGGUUUUUACUAUUACCAUUCUUAAUUGGGGACAGCAGUGUCAGAGGAGUUUGUUUAAGAUUUCAAACAGAGGCAAGAAUUGCUGUGUCUACUGAUCCAAAUGUUAUUACUGGGGUGGGAAACCCUCUCUUGUUAAGCAUGAAUUUUCAAGAUACAACAUUAACAAAAGUCCCUGUUAGAUUCAAAUUUUCUUAUUUUUAAAUUAUCAUCUCUUCUUGUGUCCACAAUCCUCUCCAUGGUGCCAUGUUAUAUUUAAUAGUCAUAUAUCCUUAACUUCCUCUUGGCUAUGACAGUUUCUCAGAUUCCUGUUGUCUCUGAUGACCUUGACGCUUAGUAUUGAUGAGGAAUUUUGUAUAAAGUACCUGAAAUGGAACUGGUCUAAUGUUUAUUUCGUGACUAGACUGAUAAUGUUUUUAGGAAGAAGACCAUAGAAAUAAAGUGCCAUUUUCAUUUCAUCAGGUCAAGAGUACAUCUAUGCUCUUAUCCUGACUUGUCACUGUUGAUGCUAAACUUAAUCACCUGGUUGAGUUAAUAUCUGUCAGGUUUCUCCAGUAUAAAGUUAUUCUAUGUUUUUUCCCUUUUCAUACUUUACUCUUUGGAAGCAAUCAAAUUUUGUAUGUUAAUCAUGUAUCUUACGACCUUGUUACGCACGCUCAUUAAAUCCAAGAGUUUUUGAGAUCUUUUGUUUGUUAAUUAUGUUUUUUGCAUUUGCUGAGAUUUUCUGCCUAGGCAAUCAUGUCACCUGUGAGUAAAGACAAUUUCAUGAUAUCUUUGCCAGUCUUUACAUAUUUAUUUCUUUUCCUCAUCUUACUGCACUAGGUUGGAGUCUUCUCGGUGUAAUAUUGAAUAGGAAUAGCAGGAGAGGCCAUUCUUGCCUUGCUCUAGUUAUAAGGGGAAAAUAUGCAGUUUCCUUCCAUUAACUAUAAUGUCAGCUAUACGUUUUCGGUAUAUGUUCUUUAUAAUAUUGAGGAAUUCCCUUCUAUGUCAUUUGUUGAGAGGUUUUAUCAUGAAUGGCUAUUGAAUACAAAUAAAUCUUUUUCUGUACCAAUUAACACACUCACAUGACUGUUUUUUAGUUUGUUAAUGUGGUCGAUUACAUUAGUUGACUUUUGAAUACCUAAAUGUUUAGCCUUGAAUAUCUGGAGUAAAUCCUAGUAAAUUGUGGUGUGCAAUUAUUUUUAUGCAUUUUAAGAUUUGAUUGCUAAUACAUUUGCUAUGUUUUUUAGAGAUAUUGGUCUGUAAUUUUUAUUUUCUGUAAUGUCUUUAUGUGAUUCUGGAAUUAGGGUGAUUUUGGC